UCUCUUCUAGUUCGAUUCGUGUCAAUUUAGACUCAGUGUUGCAUAAUUACACAUAAUCGCGUCACAUUUUCUUUAUAACAUAAAUUAUGUUAUUGGAAUAAUAGAUAAGGAAAAUACACCUCAGAAUGGCUUUGGCAUCGGAUGUAUGUGGGUUUUGCUUUAAAGAACCCGUAUUUGGAUUCUGUGAAAACUGUAAUAUUUCGCUUGGUGGGACUCCUGAACAUGCAGAUGAAAGCUGUGCGCGGAAAAUAACACAAC